rnacentral:rRNA from 1 species
CGAACGCACAUUGCAGCCAUUGGUAAUCCGAUGGCUUCGUUUGUCUGAGCGUCGUUU